rnacentral:misc_RNA from 1 species
UUAAGUUCAGCGGGUAGUCUUACUUGAUUUGAGAUCGAGUUUUACAAGAAUCGUUGCCGACCCUUGUGAAAUCCUGCAUCAGUCAGCCAAUACGGUCAAACUCCCUUUAUGUUAGCUGCAGCAAAAGUAAUAAUCCGUUUGACGGGACUAAAUAAUAUGCUUUAGUUAUCAGGAGAAUGUCCAGCUGCACCUGCAUUUCA